rnacentral:tRNA from 1 species
UGGGGAGGGGGGUAAGGGCAGCCCGGAAGACUUUGAAUCUUCAAGUCCUGGUUCGAAUCCAGGCUCCCCAG